rnacentral:piRNA from 1 species
AUUGGAGCUGAGAUUCUGCGGGAU